GACGAGCGCUGGCGGCGUGCUUAACACAUGCAAGUCGAACGGAAAGGCCCUGCUUUUGUGGGGUGCUCGAGUGGCGAACGGGUGAGUAACACGUGAGUAACCUGCCCUUGACUUUGGGAUAACUUCAGGAAACUGGGGCUAAUACCGGAUAGGAGCUCCUGCUGCAUGGUGGGGGUUGGAAAGUUUCGGCGGUUGGGGAUGGACUCGCGGCUUAUCAGCUUGUUGGUGGGGUAGUGGCUUACCAAGGCUUUGACGGGUAGCCGGCCUGAGAGGGUGACCGGCCACAUUGGGACUGAGAUACGGCCCAGACUCCUACGGGAGGCAGCAGUGGGGAAUAUUGCACAAUGGGCGGAAGCCUGAGGCAGCAACGCCGCGUGCGGGAUGACGGCCUUCGGGUUGUAAACCGCUUUCGCCUGUGACGAAGCGUGAGUGACGGUAAUGGGUAAAGAAGCACCGGCUAACUACGU
rnacentral:rRNA from 1 species